CAGUGUUCCUGCCCUCACGGGUAGAAACCCCACCCUUGUGUAUUAUAUCUUUGUUGCUUUGGCAGGCCGCCUUCGGGCACCGGCUCACGCUGGAUCGUGCCUGCCAGAGGACCCAACUCUUGUUUUUAGUGAUGUCUGAGUACUAUAUAAUAGUUA
rnacentral:misc_RNA from 1 species